UCUGGUUGGCUCUGUGGUGCACGUGC
rnacentral:piRNA from 1 species